rnacentral:rRNA from 1 species
CUGCUCAGAUUGAACGCUGGCGGCAGGCCUAACACAUGCAAGUCGAGCGGAUGAAGGGAGCUUGCUCCUGGAUUCAGCGGCGGACGGGUGAGUAAUGCCUAGGAAUCUGCCUGGUAGUGGGGGAUAACGUCCGGAAACGGGCGCUAAUACCGCAUACGUCCUGAGGGAGAAAGUGGGGGAUCUUCGGACCUCACGCUAUCAGAUGAGCCUAGGUCGGAUUAGCUAGUUGGUGGGGUAAAGGCCUACCAAGGCGACGAUCCGUAACUGGUCUGAGAGGAUGAUCAGUCACACUGGAACUGAGACACGGUCCAGACUCCUACGGGAGGCAGCAGUGGGGAAUAUUGGACAAUGGGCGAAAGCCUGAUCCAGCCAUGCCGCGUGUGUGAAGAAGGUCUUCGGAUUGUAAAGCACUUUAAGUUGGGAGGAAGGGCAGUAAGUUAAUACCUUGCUGUUUUGACGUUACCAACAGAAUAAGCACCGGCUAACUUCGUGCCAGCAGCCGCGGUAAUACGAAGGGUGCAAGCGUUAAUCGGAAUUACUGGGCGUAAAGCGCGCGUAGGUGGUUCAGCAAGUUGGAUGUGAAAUCCCCGGGCUCAACCUGGGAACUGCAUCCAAAACUACUGAGCUAGAGUACGGUAGAGGGUGGUGGAAUUUCCUGUGUAGCGGUGAAAUGCGUAGAUAUAGGAAGGAACACCAGUGGCGAAGGCGACCACCUGGACUGAUACUGACACUGAGGUGCGAAAGCGUGGGGAGCAAACAGGAUUAGAUACCCUGGUAGUCCACGCCGUAAACGAUGUCGACUAGCCGUUGGGAUCCUUGAGAUCUUAGUGGCGCAGCUAACGCGAUAAGUCGACCGC